rnacentral:tRNA from 1 species
UGCGUCGGCCGUAAUCAAACCCGGGCCGCCCGCGUGGCAUGCGAGCAUUCUACCACUGAACCACCAAUGG